GCAGCCACGCCGCGUGAGGGAUGAAGGUCCUCGGAUCGUAAACCUCUGUCAGGAGGGAAGAACCGCCACGGUGCUAAUCAGCCGUGGUCUGACGGUACCUCCAAAGGAAGCACCGGCUAACUCCGUGCCAGCAGCCGCGGUAAUA
rnacentral:rRNA from 1 species